AGUGAACGCUGGCGGUAGGCCUAACACAUGCAAGUCGAACGGCAGCACAGUAAGAGCUUGCUCUUACGGGUGGCGAGUGGCGGACGGGUGAGGAAUACAUCGGAACCUACUUUUUCGUGGGGGAUAACGUAGGGAAACUUACGCUAAUACCGCAUACGACCUACGGGUGAAAGCAGGGGAUCUUCGGACCUUGCGCGAUUGAAUGAGCCGAUGUCGGAUUAGCUAGUUGGCGGGGUAAGGGCCCACCAAGGCGACGAUCCGUAGCUGGUCUGAGAGGAUGAUCAGCCACACUGGAACUGAGACACGGUCCAGACUCCUACGGGAGGCAGCAGUGGGGAAUAUUGGACAAUGGGCGCAAGCCUGAUCCAGCCAUACCGCGUGGGUGAAGAAGGCCUUCGGGUUGUAAAGCCCUUUUGUUGGGAAAGAAAAGCAGCAGGUUAAUACCCCGCUGUUCUGACGGUACCCAAAGAAUAAGCACCGGCUAACUUCGUG
rnacentral:rRNA from 1 species